rnacentral:rRNA from 1 species
GAUGAACGCUGGCGGCGUGCCUAAUACAUGCAAGUAGAACGCUGAAGGAGGAGCUUGCUCUUUCCGGAUGAGUUGCGAACGGGUGAGUAACGCGUAGGUAACCUGCCUGGUAGCGGGGGAUAACUAUUGGAAACGAUAGCUAAUACCGCAUAACAGUAGAUAUUGCAUGAUAUCUGCUUGAAAGGGGCAAUUGCUCCACUACCAGAUGGACCUGCGUUGUAUUAGCUAGUUGGUGAGGUAACGGCUCACCAAGGCGACGAUACAUAGCCGACCUGAGAGGGUGAUCGGCCACACUGGGACUGAGACACGGCCCAGACUCCUACGGGAGGCAGCAGUAGGGAAUCUUCGGCAAUGGACGGAAGUCUGACCGAGCAACGCCGCGUGAGUGAAGAAGGUUUUCGGAUCGUAAAGCUCUGUUGUAAGAGAAGAACGAGUGUGAGAGUGGAAAGUUCACACUGUGACG